rnacentral:tRNA from 1 species
GGCAAGAUGGCCGAGUGGUUAAGGCGUUGGUUUUAGGAUCCGAAAGGGCGAGGGUUCGAAUCCCUCUCUUGUCA